rnacentral:tRNA from 1 species
CUGGUUAGCUCAGUUGGUAGAGCGCUUCACUGGAAAUGAGGACGUCCCGGGUUCGGUGCCCGGGCCAG